rnacentral:rRNA from 1 species
AACGAACGCUGGCGGCAGGCUUAACACAUGCAAGUCGAACGCAUCCUUCGGGAUGAGUGGCAGACGGGUGAGUAACACGUGGGAACCUACCCAAAGGUACGGAAUAACACAGGGAAACUUGUGCUAAUACCGUAUGUGCCCUUCGGGGGAAAGAUUUAUCGCCUUUGGAUGGGCCCGCGUCGGAUUAGCUAGUUGGUGGGGUAAUGGCCUACCAAGGCGACGAUCCGUAGCUGGUCUGAGAGGAUGAUCAGCCACACUGUGACUGAGACACGGCCCAGACUCCUACGGGAGGCAGCAGUGGGGAAUAUUGGACAAUGGGCGGCAAGCCUGAUCCAGCCAUGCCGCGUGAGUGAUGAAGGCCUUAGGGUUGUAAAGCUUUUUCAGCUGGGAAGAUAAUGACGGUACCAGCAGAAGAAGCCCCGGCUAACUUCGUGCCAGCAGCCGCGGUAAUACGAAGGGGGCUAGCGUUGUUCGGAAUCACUGGGCGUAAAGCGCACGUA